ensembl:lncRNA
AUGCUCCAUCUCUCUCAGGAUGUGGAGGCCCUGCGUGGAGAGCUGUGUCGUAAGGACGAGGAGUGCCGCGAGCAGGAGCGGCGACUGGCUGCGCUGGAGCAGCAGGUGCAGGAGAGGACUGGUGUGAUAGUUCAGCUGCAGCAGCAGUUAGAGGAGGCAGCACGGCCCAGACAGGAGCUCCAGCUGCUUCGUGAUGGUGAGGAGACUCUGUCUCGCCAGGCUGCUCUGCCGCUGCAGGUCAAGUAUGUGACCAAGACGGUUGAAGUGGAGUCAGCCCAGAGUAAGCAGGCUUUAAUAGAGGCCCAGGCCCAUAACCAGGCGCUGCAGGAGCAGCUGAGUGUUCAGAGGCAGCUCCUCAGAGAGCUGGAGCAGCAGCUCCACGAGUCCCAGAGAAGCAGCAGUCAGCUCCGCCAGCAGGUACCACACUCACUUCCUUAUCGUGAGAGCGAUUCAAAAACACAAGAAGCUAUCUGCUCUCUAGAGCUCGAAAGGUACUAUGUCAUACAACAAUUGGUUAGUGCAGCGCAAACAAAGCCAAAACAUGUAUAUUUUAGAUAUAGAAAUCCUGGUGUGCGGAUGAACCUCCUGACGCUGCAGCCGGCCCUGAGGACCCUCACCUGUGAUUACAACUGUCUGAAGAGACAGGUGCAGGACUUCCCUUACAUGCUGGAGAAAGCCAUCACCGAGGCAAAGCAGGAGAUCUGUCAGGUGAUUGGAGAGGUGAGCAGUGCAAACCAAGAGCUGCUGCGCAAAUACAAGCGGGAGAUGAACCUGAGGAAGAAAUGCCACAAUGAACUGGUGCGCCUCAAAGGAAACAUUCGUGUGUUGUGCCGAGUACGUCCCGUAUGUGCUGGAGAAACAGAUGCUGCUGACACCAAAAACAAAGUGACCUUUGACCCUGAUGAUGAUGCUGUUCUCUACUUGUCCAAUAAGGGCAAGCUCAUGACCUUUGAACUUGACAAAGUCUUUCCCACUCAGGCCACUCAGGAGGAGGUGUUCCAGGAAGUGCAGUCUCUGGUCACUUCCUGUAUUGAUGGCUUUAACGUAUGCAUCUUUGCCUAUGGGCAGACCGGCUCUGGAAAGACCUAUACUAUGGAGGGUGUCCCUGAAGACCCUGGCAUUAACCAGCGUGCUCUGCGGCUGCUCUUCUCUGAAGUGUUGGAGAAAAAGCCUGACUGGGACUAUAAGAUCACCGUCAGCAUGGUGGAAAUCUACAAUGAGACACUUCGGAAUCUGUUGGGCGACAAUCCCAAUGAGAAGCUGGAUAUAAAGAUGUGUCCAGACGGCAGUGGACAGCUGUAUGUGCCAGGACUCACGGAGUUCACCGUGGAGAGCGUGGAGGACAUUAACAAGGUGUUUGACCUGGGUCACAUGAACAGGGCGACAGCGUGCACUAAUCUAAACGAGCACAGCUCUCGCUCUCACGCUCUCCUGAUCGUCACAGUGGCAGGUUUCAACUCUUCCACGGGCCACCGUACCUCAGGUAAGCUCAAUCUGGUGGAUCUGGCUGGUUCCGAGCGGAUCACCAAAUCCGGCGCUGAGGGCAGCCGUCUGCGCGAGGCUCAGUGUAUCAACAAAUCACUGUCUGCGCUGGGCGACGUCAUCAACGCCCUGCGCUCCAAACACUCGCACGUGCCCUUCAGGAACUCGCGUCUCACGUACCUGCUGCAGGACUCGCUCAGCGGAGACAGCAAGACCCUCAUGAUGGUGCAGGUGUCUCCUCUAGAGAGUAACGUCAGUGAGUCGGUUUGCUCUCUGAAGUUCGCUCAGCGUGUUCGGUCUGUUGAGAUCGGGCCCUCGUCUUCCUCACGCCGCCAAGCAGAGAACUCCUCUACAUCCUCCUCUCCAACUCAUGACGGCGUGGAGGUACAGCGUCACAAACACACACAUCCUCAAAAUGUGGGGAAAAUAAGAUGGAAUUUGGGAAAAAAAUAA